rnacentral:rRNA from 1 species
UACGUAGGCAGCAAGCGUUGUUCGGAGUUACUGGGCGUAAAGGGUGCGUAGGUGGCUCUAUAAGUAUGGUGUGAAAUCUCCCGGCUUAAUUGGGAGGGUGCGCCGUAGACUGUGGGGCUAGAGUGUGGGGAGAGGAAAGUGGAAUUCCUGGUGUAGCGGUGAAAUGCGUAGAUAUCAGGAGGAACACCGGUGGUGUAAACGGCUUUCUGGACCAUAACUGACACUGAGGCACGAAA